rnacentral:rRNA from 1 species
UACCAGCACCCCGAGUGGUCGGGACGAUUAUUGGGCCUAAAGCAUCCGUAGCCGGUUCUACAAGUCUUCCGUUAAAUCCACCUGCUUAACAGAUGGGCUGCGGAGGAUACUAUAGAGCUAGGAGGCGGGAGAGGCAAGCGGUUCUUAGUGGGUAGGGGUAAAAUCCGUUGAUCCAUUGAAGACCACCAGUGGCGAAGGCGGCUUGCCAGAACGCACUCGACGGUGAGGGAUGAAAGCUGGGGGAGCAAACCGG